CCCGACACCUCCAUGCCCCACAUGGCGUCGUAGAAGCUCAUGAUGCGGCAAUCCGUCUCCAAAGUUGGCGUGGCUGUGAUUUUGGCUGACGGAAACAACGGCGGCUAACCCCAAAAGCAGUCCGAAGAGGAAGAACCCGUGGCCGCAUUUGGCCAUUGAAAGUGGAGCCGCUGCGAGAGCCAAGGGAAACGAAAGCCAACCAAGACCAAGUCCAGUUCCAGUUCUUCUCCACUCUGCUAAGCAGCUUCAGCAAGUGCUAACAACCUGUCCGUCCAAUGCUGCCGCUUCGCGUCCAAGCGAUUUGAUUUCACUGACCUCAAUUACAGCCGCUGCUGGCCAACAAUGCAACUGCGAUGGACUGCAGACCUGCAGCUUCUGCCUCCGCUCGCCUGCCGACUAUUGAAUUAUUCAUUUGCUCAGACCAAAAUCCAACAAAAGAAGAAGGAAGACCAGCGACAAAAGUCCAUAAAAUGCUCUUGUGGCCAGCGACGAGGGAGAGCAGCUUCGGAAUGGCAAAUGGCAAACGGCAAACAGUGACAACUCGCCUAAUUACAACGAAUCUUUGGCUCUGCAAAGUAAAUUUGUCCACUCAAAGAGUGCUUGAACCAACACAAAACCCAGGCCCCGAGAGUGCCUGGUACUGGGGCUUAUGCUACGACACUCUGCAGUCUCCAGUCGGGGAUUUGCAUCAGCGAGCGUGGCGAGCUUUUGUUUCCAUGGAAUUUCUAAGCAACAAUAGAAAGGAUUUGGAGCGGAGUAAGCGAAGCGACCAUGGAACUGAAGCAAUUACUUAGCAGGCUUUAUCGGACGUUCAACAGUCACGAAAUGGAUUGCAAUUUACUAUAUAAACCAGCGACAAUGUUCGGUGAACUCAGAAUCAAUCAGCAUGAAGCUUCCUCGACUGUUUCUGCUCUGCGGCGCCCUGCUGAUGAUGAUGAUGCCACUCUCCUGGGGCAUAGAUCCAGGAUUUCUGGAGUAUAUAAAAAAACGUGUGACAACCUAAAAUAUCCCUUAAGUGUAUCAUAUUGAAUGGACUACCAUAGAAGAGGAAGAUAGAAGCCUUUCUUAUCCGAUUCUUAAGUUUUGUUUUGAUCUAAAAUAUACCGAAUGGCCUGAUUUUUAGCGCAA